GCUGGCGGCGUGCCUAACACAUGCAAGUCGAACGAGAAAGUGGAGCAAUCCAUGAGUAAAGUGGCGACCGGGUGAGUAACACGUGACUAACCUACCCUCGAGUGGGGAAUAACUCCGGGAAACCGGGGCUAAUACCGCAUAACAUCGCAAGAUCAAAGCAGCAAUGCGCUUGAGGAGGGGGUCGCGGCUGAUUAGCUAGUUGGCGGGGUAACGGCCCACCAAGGCGAAGAUCGGUAUCCGGCCUGAGAGGGCGCACGGACACACUGGAACUGAAACACGGUCCAGACUCCUACGGGAGGCAGCAGUGGGGAAUUUUGCGCAAUGGGGGAAACCCUGACGCAGCAACGCCGCGUGGAGGAUGAAGCCCUUUGGGGCGUAAACUCCUUUCGACUCGGACGAUAAUGACGGUACGAGUGGAAGAAGCACCGGCUAACUCUGUGCCAGCAGCCGCGGUAAUACAGAGGGUGCGAGCGUUGUUCGGAAUUAUUGGGCGUAAAGGGCGCGUANGCGGUGCGGUAAGUCACCUGUGAAAUCUCCUGGCUUAACUGGGAGCCUGCA
rnacentral:rRNA from 1 species